rnacentral:rRNA from 1 species
UACAGAGGUCCCAAGCGUUGUUCGGAUUCAUUGGGCGUAAAGGGUGCGUAGGCGGCGCGGUAAGUCGGGUGUGAAAUCUCGGAGCUUAACUCCGAAACUGCAUUUGAUACUGCCGUGCUUGAGGACUGGAGAGGAGACUGGAAUUUACGGUGUAGCGGUGAAAUGCGUAGAUAUCGUAAGGAAGACCAGUGGCGAAGGCGGGUCUCUGGACAGUUCCUGACGCUGAGGAGCGAAAGCGUGGGGAGCAAACAGG